rnacentral:rRNA from 1 species
CGAGUAGGCGGGAUAGAAAGUCAGAUGUGAAAUACCGAGGCUUAACUUCGGGGCUGCAUUUGGAAACUUCUGUUCUUGAGUGAUGGAGAGGCAGGCGGAAUUCCCGGUGUAGCGGUGAAAUGCAUAGAGAUCGGGAGGAACACCAGUGGCGAAGGCGGCCUGCUGGACAUUAACUGACGCUGAGGCGCGAAAGUGUGGGGAGCAAACA